CAAUGUUUUACCACUUAUUUCAAAUGCCACUUCUAGCCAAUCCAAACUAUGAAUGUAUUUUUGCCUCACAUUUCAUUCUAUGUGUUUCUUCUUGUUCACCUAAUACCAUCAAGUGCUCAUUAUUGGGUCUUCCAGUGGAGCCCAGACAAUAUUCUGGUUGCUAAAAAGAAGGUCAAUGAGGUCAGUGGUAACCCAGAGGUUAUCACAUAUAUGGGGUCUUUUAUAGAUAACAAAAAGGAAGUCUUGCUUCUUCCAUUUUUUAUUUUUUGGAGAGGCUAUUAAUACAAGGGAAUCUGGGAUAAGGAAAUAGAAGGUGAUGGAAGAGAUGGCAUGGGGUAUGCUUUUCCAUCUGGCUUAGACAGAUAGUUUUAAUAUCCAAUGGAAAGAGGGAUAGAGCAAAGGAUAUAUAAAUUCUGUCUUCAUAAAGACUCUGAAUCUAGAGGCAUGAAUACUUCUUCCCUGAAGUUCAUAUGGUAGAUUGCAAAACAGAGUCAGCAGCACAGCCAUUCUACUCCAAAUCUUCACCCAAGUCCUAGUACAUCAUGGAAUAAUGCACCAUCGUUGACUGAUCAGAGUGUACUUGUCAGUCUUUCCUCCACAGCAUAUACAAGUAGUCAGAACUAGCUCUAAGCGUGAUGAUAAAGUUCUCUGUUUAGAAGGCUAAAAUUAAAUAAGAGAAGAUUUUCUUUCUGAGAAUUUGUUUUUUUUUUUUCCCCCUCCAUUGCUGCGACCCCUUCCCUGAGUGUCUAAAAAAUGAUACCGACAUGAUGGGGUGGAAUUGGAGAAGGCUCUGAGCUACAGACAUUAUUCACAAACCUGUUAAUUGCGCACCAGGAUUUUUGUUUAUUUUGGAUGCUGCAGCUACACUCUGGCUACUUAAGACUACGCACAGGGUGAGUUUUAGAGGUCUUUAAGAUAUUUGCCUGAAAAUUUCUUGAGACUUCUUUCUGUAUUAGUCUUUUUUAUGCAAUACUGGGAAUUCUGAAUCAGUCUGGAGCUAUUAGGUUCUCUAUGUGAGCUUUAUAUUAAGAAAUCAAAAAUGCCAAGUUUUCAUGUUACCUAAGGAUUAUGAAUAACAAGAAGUACAUGUUAUGCACCUUCCUUGUAUUAAAAAAAAU
rnacentral:lncRNA from 1 species